GGUUUGUGGCUCAGUGGUAGAGCACUUGCCCAGCAUGGGUGAAACACUUGAGUUCAAUUCUCAGCACCA
rnacentral:tRNA from 1 species